GGAAGCAGGAAAAUAAAGCAGCGAGCCUAUAGUCCUCACAAUGAAAACACUUAAUAGUUGGGGACCCCUUAAGCGGCUGAGGUGCUAAAAAGCGUUUCGCGUUAUGAGGGAGAUACCUGCCGAUGUAGAAGUGUCGGCGAAAUCUUGGAAGUGAUGAGGUGAUGCCUUCUUUCACUCGUGGAAAACUUCAAUCCGGGAUGAAGGUGAGAUGAUCAGGAAUCCAGGGAGAGGUAGGUGUCUGGAAGGCUGAUCUCCUUAAGUACUGACUUCUCAGCUCAGACCUGCUGCAAGCAGAAAUUUCAGGAUCGCAAAACCAAGCUGAUUAAAUCAUAAGUCCCUGUGGUUGUAACGGAC